GCGGACGUAGCCAAGUGGAUCAA
rnacentral:tRNA from 1 species